UCUUCCGUAAUCGAGCUGUGUGCCUCGACUCCCCUUUGGACUUUGGACUGCCUAUAUCGAUCCUCGACCGCCGCUUUGGACACGGACCUCUUGGCGCCUCUCUCAGCCCCACGGACCACCCGCCUGUCUCACGGACUUUCUUCUAUCCAGCCCCUUUGGACUUAUCCGCCUCCUCACUCAACACUCAGGUCAUGGCGCAUGCGCAAUCCUUCAGGCCAUCUGCAGCAAGUGCAGCCGGCAGCUUUGCUAGGAGUGCGCCGGGACACGCCCCUGCUCGCUCUUCCCGCAUCGCGGCCACACGCCUGCAAGGCUCCAGGCAAUCAUCGAUCAGCGCACCUGGAUCUGAUGAGGGCAGACGGCAUAAAGACCAGCGGACCCAAAGAUCCUGUGCCGGAACGUAGUUCACUGCCCGUAUGAUCCCUCCCUUAUCCUGUGAUCGAGCUGUGCGCCUUGACUCCCCUCCGGACUUUGGACUGCUUCCUUCGAUCCUCGACCCUCGCUUGGACACGGACAUUGUCGCCUCUCUCCAGAUCCGGACCUCUCGCUUGCCCACGGACUGUCUUUUGCCCCUCUGUACUUCUGAAGGAUUCAUCCUACAUGCACGUACAACACCCGCUGGUAACAUUUACAUUGCGAAUACUACACAUUGUCUUGCAUCAUUUUCUUAUAGUAGCAUAGUGAAGUGAAGUGUGAAGUGAAGUGAAGUGAAUUAUAUUUAUAUAGCGCUUUUCUCAAGUGACUCAAAGCGCUUUACAUAGAGACACCCAAUAUCUAAGUUGCAUUUAAACCAGUGUGGGUGGCACUGGGAGCAGGUUGGUAAAGUGCCUUGCCCAAGGACACAACGGCAGUAACUAGGAUGGCACAAGCGGGAAUUGAACCUGCAACCCUCAUGUUGCAGGCACGUCCGCUCUACCAAGCGAGCUAUACACACCCUAGCAUAUCAUCAGAUUCAAUAUCAUGAUCUGAUUCCUGCCGUUGUGUAGUCUCCUUCCCCCCGUACAUAUCAAAGUCAUUUACAAAGAGGUAAACAUGCUAGGUUAAAGGCUGCUAGGAAAUAUCAGCUACACAACAGCUAAGCACACAAUAGCACAUAAGAUAGAUAUCCAUAUGUGACCUUUAUUGAACAAUGCUUAAAAAAAAGGUAUCUUUUUUUUUUUUUAUUUGCAUAUCACUUACUGGUACAAAGUAUAGAACACAGAAGUGUAUUACACACGAUCCAGUAACAAAUGUGUCCGCAUCAUUCCAUGUACUGUGUCAUAAUCUUAAAUAACUGAUUUAUUGUGUACACUAGGAGUCGGCAAAAAAAAACGUGCAACUCCACUUUAAAAACAUAAGUCUGUCAUAAGGUUAGUGUCAAGUCAAAGACAGAGCAGAAAAACCACCACUGAUUUGCAGAGCACACUCCAGACCUCAAAGGGCAACAGUGAGAGCUGAGGGCUGAACAUCUCCACCUGCUUCCACCAGAUUGGCUUGAUUGAGUUCACCUGUUCACCUGCUCAGAGCACAUGCUCAAAAUGUUUGAGCUUCAGUCAGUCACCCCUUUUUGACAUGCUGCUAAGAGGAAGGAAGACAGUUCCUGUGUGGACUCUGAAGACGCAACUGGAGAGCACCAUCGAGACUGGAGGAACAUCUGCGUGAAAGCCCCGUGAUCCAACCCAGGCGACCAGGCCCGGUUUGGCCUAUCUUGACUUUCUGCCUAUGAAUAAUGCAAAUGAUCGUCGAAGGAAGCGCCUGCAUUCAUUGAGGUCACAUUAACCUGUGGGCCCGAUGCAGUUGUGACAUGACAGGACAUAUAGCAUUCCACGGCUUAGACAUGUUCAUGAAAAUGAAGCCUUAAUGAGGACUCAAGAGAUUAAUGCAUUUUGAACAGCACAGCACACACACUUUUACAUGCAGCCUACAUGCAGUCGUGGUCAAAAAUUUAAAUUCACUUGUAAAUAACAUAA